AACGAACGCUGGCGGCAUGCCUAACACAUGCAAGUCGAACGAGACCUUCGGGUCUAGUGGCGCACGGGUGCGUAACGCGUGGGAACCUGCCCUUAGGUUCGGAAUAACUCCCCGAAAGGGGUGCUAAUACCGGAUAAUGUCUUCGGACCAAAGAUUUAUCGCCUUUGGAUGGGCCCGCGUUGGAUUAGCUAGUUGGUAGGGUAAAAGCCUACCAAGGCGACGAUCCAUAGCUGGUCUGAGAGGAUGAUCAGCCACACUGGGACUGAGACACGGCCCAGACUCCUACGGGAAGCAGCAGUGGGGAAUAUUGGACAAUGGGCGAAAGCCUGAUCCAGCAAUGCCGCGUGAGUGAUGAAGGCCUUAGGGUUGUAAAGCUCUUUUACCCGGGAUGAUAAUGACAGUACCGGGAGAAUAAGCUCCGGUUAACUCCGUG
rnacentral:rRNA from 1 species